GAUGAACGCUAGCGGGAGGCCUAACACAUGCAAGCCGAGCGGUAUUUGUUCUUCGGAACAGAGAGAGCGGCGCACGGGUGCGGAACACGUGUGCAACCUGCCUUUAUCUGGGGGAUAGCCUUUCGAAAGGAAGAUUAAUACCCCAUAAUAUAUUGAGUGGCAUCAUUUGAUAUUGAAAACUCCGGUGGAUAGGGAUGGGCACGCGCAAGAUUAGAUAGUUGGUGAGGUAACGGCUCACCAAGUCAAUGAUCUUUAGGGGGCCUGAGAGGGUGAUCCCCCACACUGGUACUGAGACACGGACCAGACUCCUACGGGAGGCAGCAGUGAGGAAUAUUGGACAAUGGGUUAGCGCCUGAUCCAGCCAUCCCGCGUGAAGGACGACGGCCCUAUGGGUUGUAAACUUCUUUUGUAUAGGGAUAAACCUACUCUCGUGAGAGUAGCUGAAGGUACUAUACGAAUAAGCACCGGCUAACUCCGUG
rnacentral:rRNA from 1 species